UACAGAGGUCGUCAAGCGUUGUUCGGAUUCAUUGGGCGUAAAGGGUGCGUAGGCGGCGCGGUAAGUCGGGUGUGAAAGUCUCGGAGCUUAACUCCGAACUGCAUUCGAUACUGCCGUGCUUGAGGACUGGAGAGGAGACUGGAAUUUACGGUGUAGCGGUGAAAUGCGUAGAUAUCGUAAGGAAGACCAGUGGCGAAGGCGGGUCUCGUGGACAGUUCCUGACGCUGAGGCACGAAGGUCAGGGGAGCAAACGGG
rnacentral:rRNA from 1 species